ACCAGACUCCUACGGGAGGCAGCAGUGGGGAAUAUUGGGCAAUGGGCGCAAGCCUGACCCAGCAACGCCGCGUGAAGGAAGAAGGCUUUCGGGUUGUAAACUUCUUUUCUCAGGGACGAAGCAAGUGACGGUACCUGAGGAAUAAGCCACGGCUAACUACGUGCCAGCAGCCGCGGUAAUACGUAGGUGGCAAGCGUUAUCCGGAUUUAUUGGGUUUAAAGGGUGCGCAGGCGGAAUGUCAAGUCAGCGGUAAAAUUUCGGGGCUCAACCCCGUCGUGCCGUUGAAACUGGCGUUCUUGAGUGAGCGAGAAGUAUGCGGAAUGCGUGGUGUAGCGGUGAAAUGCAUAGAUAUCACGCAGAACUCCGAUUGCGAAGGCAGCAUACCGGCGGCGAUCUGACGCUGAGGCACGAAAGCGUGGGUAUCGAACAGGAUUAGAUACCCCAGUA
rnacentral:rRNA from 1 species